CGCGCAGGCGGUCCGGUAAGUCGGAAGUGAAAUCCGUCGGCUCAACCGACGAACGGCUUCCGAUACUGCCGGACUUGAGUACGGGAGAGGAAAGCGGGAAUUCCCAGUGUAGAGGUGAAAUUCGUAGAUAUUGGGAAGAACACCGGUGGCGAAGGCGGCUUUCUGGACCGAUACUGACGCUGAGGCGCGAAAGCGUGGGGAGCAAACA
rnacentral:rRNA from 1 species